GCAUGGAGUUCGCAUCCUUGUUCGAGCCAUAUAUUAUCAAUGGAAACAUUGGUCGUGUCUAUGGAAGCAAAAAUGUGCCAACAUGUUUGUACAAGAUCCAUAUUUAAAUGAAGCAGGAAAUAGGAGAUCUGAGCCUGGCAUGGAGUUCGCCUCCUUGUUCGAGCCAGAUAUUCCCAAUCAAAACCUUGGUCAUGUCUAUGUCUACAUCUACAUCACCUUUCUCCUACUGGCCACUAAAAUCCGUAUGGAAACUUAUAGGCAAAUAAUGGACCAUUAUUAUCACAUAGAUAGCAACCAGUGCUAUUUACUGCUAGGUAACAACUGUUUCUUACCCCUUCAACAACGACAUGUUUUU
rnacentral:misc_RNA from 1 species